rnacentral:snRNA from 1 species
UUACAUGCGCAGUGGCAGUAUGGUAGUCUGUGAGGUUGAACUGAGGCACGAUCAUUGCUAGUGGAAAACUUGUUUCUUUGAGUGAGAGAGAUUCACUGUUAUUCCAUUUGUUUCCUAUAGG